UACGAAGGGUGCAAGCGUUACUCGGAAUUACUGGGCGUAAAGCGUGCGUAGGUGGUGAGUUAAGUCUGUCGUGAAAGCCCCGGGCUCAACCUGGGAAUGGCGAUGGAUACUGGCUCGCUAGAGUGCGGUAGAGGAGAGUGGAAUUCCCGGUGUAGCAGUGAAAUGCGUAGAUAUCGGGAGGAACACCUGCGGUGUAGACGGCUUUCUGGACCAUUGUUGACGCUGAGACACGAAAGCGUGGGUAGCAAACAGG
rnacentral:rRNA from 1 species